GUUCAGAGCAGUGGAUCCAAUAUCCAUGUUCCCUAGUCUUCUCCUUUCCGCCUUAUUCAGUCAGCCGAUGACGCUGAGGGAACCAACGGUGGUGUUUCCACCAUCGAUCAUGCGACAGAGAAUCGAAUACUUUUAUUGGAUGAGGACGACAAAACUGUGGCAGGGAACAGCGAUCAAUUUUAAACCUGUGCUUCAUCAGAUGGAGACAGUGACCGUAAAAGUUCCGACUCUGCAUUCAUGGAAUAAAUCCAGAUAGAUGCGAAUUUGGAUGUGUUUGCUGGUAUAUUGAGACCAGAAGGCAAUGUAUGGACGAAUUGGAUGCCUUACCUCUCUGAAUUUAAUGUUUUCUGGAUAUAUAAUAUGGUAAAUGAGCAAACCAGCAAGGUACGUACAUAAAGGAAAUGAAGGAGGUGGGACAUGAUAUUCCCACAUUGCUAGAUUAGAAAGGAGCAUAAUCAUAAUCAGCGUCGUCAUCGCCGCCUCCUUCCAAACAUGCUGCAGGAGCAUAAUCAUAAUCACUGUUAUCGUCUCCAUCUCCGUGUAUCAGGCACCACGAAUUACUCAUCAUAAUAAUGGAUUUCAGAGCUACCAGAGUCAUUGUGGAUUUGGACAGAAAAUUGUGAAAGAAAUGAAGAAGAGAAAUACUUGCUUAGAUAGAAAUAACUUGGCCUUGUUUGAGUGUAGAAAACAAAGUAUCUAUAAGUGCCUUUAUAAAGGGCUGGAAAGGAACACUCCUUUAUUCCACAUGACAAGGGACAACCGUGUACUAAGUAUGUAGUCAUUACUGAAGUAUGUGCUGGGCUUGAUGUGUGAUGAGCUGGCUUGCCACGUCAGAAGAAGAAAUGCCAUGUCAGUGUACACGUUGGAAGGGACAUGUCUUUAGCUAGGUGUUGGCUCGUGGAAUUAAUGUCAGCUUUUGAAUGUAAAGGAAUUUGGUGUUUGUUGGUGGUGAGAAGCAGAAGGAAUGUCUCUUCGCUGUCAGAAGGAUGCAAUGUCUUACAAGUUAGACCAAGUACUCUACUGCCUUCAUUUGGGAACAAUGCUGAAUGUCAAGGAAUUUUGUGUUUGUUGGUGGUGAGAACCAGAAGGAAUGAAUGGAUUUAGAAAGGAAUGUGUCUUCCCUGUCUGAAGGAUGCAAUGCCUUACAACUAACUGACAUAUUAGCGAAUUUGGAUAUGGAUUUGGUGGUAUGUUGAGUUCAGAAGGCAAUGGAUGCUGUACAUAAAGGACUAAUAGGGGGGAGUGGAUGCCUUACCUGUUUGAAUUUCAUGCUUUCUAGAUAUAUGUAUGGUAAAUUAGCAAAUCAGCUGGGUAGGGUACAAAAAGCAAAUGAAGGAGGGUGGACAUUAUUCCCACAUUGCUAGAUUAGAAAGUUCUUGGAUGGAUGUGUUAUCUUUGCUGACUACGCCAGACCAAUGACUCCACUGCCUUGGGUUGGGAAUAACAAUGCUGGAUAUUCAUACAGGACACCAAAUGGGCAGCGUGACUUUUGGUGGGUCUUCCACUGUCCAAUCAUUGAAUUUGAGUAGUAAUCAGCAAAAAAAUCCUGGAAUCAAUCCCAUCCAGAAUGCUUGCUUAUGCUAUCAUCAAGACCAAUGGUUUUCUCCUUGUUGGCAUAUGUCAACGAAUUUGGUGUUUGAUGGUGGUGAGAACCAGAAGGAAUGAAUUGACGAAAAGGAAUGUAUCUUCCCUGUUUGAAGGAUGCAAUGCCUUACAACUAGCUGACAUAUUAGCGAAUUUGGACAUGGAUUUGGUGGAAUAUUGACACCAGAAGGCAAUGAAUGUAUUGUAAAUUAGCAAUACAUUAUUGUAAAUUAGCAAAUCAGCAGGGUACAAGAAGCAAUGAAGGAAGGUGGACAUUAUUCCCACAUUGCUAUAUUAGAGAGGGCUUAACAAAGGACCACUUCAGAAGGGUUUGGUUUUAUUUAAUAUGCCACUCUUGAGGAUUCUGCAGCAGGGAUACAGGAGGGAAUGGAUGGAAAGUCUUGGACGGAUCGGUUAUCUUUUCUGAAUACGCUAGACCAAGGACUCUACUGCCUUCGGUUGGGAACAAUAAUGCUGGAUAUUCAUACAGGACACCAAAUGGGCAGCAGUAACCAGAAUUAGACUUUAUUUUGCAUAUAAUGCUGGUAAUUGUUGGCAUGUUGAUUUCUGAUUCGAUGAUGAACUUGUUUCGAUAUUCGAUAGAUUGAUUAUAGAGAACGAUAUUUGGAGUACUGAUGGCAUGAAUUUAUCAUCAUUGUUGUAUCUUGUGGAUCAAUCCCAUCCAGAAUGUCAAGGAAUUUGGUGCUUGUUAGUGGUGAGAACCAGUCACUAUCUUCCCUUUCUGAAGGAUGCAAUGUCUUACAACUAACUGACAAGUUGUAUCAUGCUAGUAAAGUCAUGUGAUCAUGAGAAGAGUACACCAACCAAUAGUCAGGUUUUCUAAUUCCAUGAGAGACAUGAUUGACCAACAAGCACAGCAUAUGUUGACGAAUUUGGAUAUGGAGUUGGUGGUUGUUGGGAUAUUGAGACCAAAAAGCAAUGGAUUCUCGGCGAAGAGGGGUGAGUCGAUGCCUUACCUGUUUGAAUAUCAUGCUUUCUGGAUAUGUAUGAUAAAUUAGCACAUCAGCAAAGUACUAAAAGGAAGGAAAGAAAGA